rnacentral:lncRNA from 1 species
UGCUUCUGGACAGCUUCUAAAUACAUAAGCCACUGAUACUGGUUUCAUCUGAAACUGAGACAUGAAAAGUGGUCCUCAUUUGCUUUAUUCCUACGGUCUGAAUGUUUGAAGAGGAUCACAAACAGUCUGCUACCCACAGUAGCAUGAAAACUGAUGUGCAAGAGCUAGUAAAGAGGCUACUUCUUUGUCACAGGGAAGAUAAAUGGAGGAAGAAAAUGAAAAGAAUUUGGCAAAAAAUAUUGGGACUAAACUUUUACUGAAGCUUGACUGUAAGAUCUCAUAGGUUUCCAGGAUUUUUGGAGGCACAGGGAUGCGCAGACUACUUGGUGUCUCCAAAGGAACCAGGUCCCCAGGAAUGUAAAGCUUCAUGUUAACCUUGCUCACUAGAGGCUGAGUUCUGGCUGACAGUAGCCCACUUAAGUUCUUGUAGUUUUGGACUUUCUUUGGAUGAUCGUUUUCUUGCUCUAUUAUUUUUAGAAGACAAAGGGGAAGAGGGAAAAAUAUCUUAAAAGUUCAGUCCAGCCAUUGUCUCUCCUUUCCUAGAAAAAUAAAUACAGAAAAAAUAAUUUUAAAAAGAAGUUC